rnacentral:rRNA from 1 species
UACGAGGGGGCUAGCGUUGCUCGGAAUGACUGGGCGUAAAGGGCGCGUAGGCGGCUCAUACAGUCAGAUGUGAAAUUCCUGGGCUUAACCUGGGGGCUGCAUUUGAUACGUGUGGGCUUGAGUGGGGAAGAGGGUCGUGGAAUUCCCAGUGGUAGAGGUGAAAUUCGUAGAUAUUGGGAAGAACACCGGUGGCGAAGGCGGCGACCUGGUCCUUGACUGACGCUGAGGCGCGAAAGCGUGGGGAGCAAACAGG